rnacentral:lncRNA from 1 species
GGAAGGGCCAUCUGCGUGGCGACCCCAAACCUCCCACCGGGUUCGGCGGCACGGAUCUGGCGAGGCCGAGAGGCAGAAAGCCGCCUGAACACUCGCAGGACCCGGACCCGGGACGUGCCCACGACCUCAAAUAGACUGUGCCAUCGUCCAUGUCCGCCGGGCAGCGCCGCGGAGUGGAGCCUCGCGGGGCUGCUCCUCGUUUCUUAGAUAGGCUCUGCCAGGCUGUGCUCCCUGGAUUCCCGACCGGAUUCCGACGCCGGGCUGGGAGCUGGGCCUGGGGCCGGGGCCGCUGUCCCGGUCCGGGGAGAUCAGAGCCCAAAGCGCCCGAGAAAUCUGCCAGCCCAAGUUAAAACUGCGCAGAGGAAGAAAUCAGGGAGGAGAUUUCAAAGCGGGUGCGAAGCGACAGGACGAGCACGGGCUACGGCCAUGGUCCUGUUGGUCCCGCUGCCCACCCUGCCCCCUUCCUUUAUUCCCCAUUACUGGACUCUGCGAUCGGCCAGGCUGAGUCCCUCCCUCGGGCUCACAGGCAGCUCCAGGAGGGGGAGCCGAACCCUCUCUGCCAUGUCCGGGUCUCGGCCUCGAACUGUCCCCGAGGCCCAAGCUGCAAGCCCCUGCACGUACGCACGUCCUUCGGCCA